rnacentral:misc_RNA from 1 species
UCAUUUAGAGGAAGGAGAAGUCGUAACAAGGUUUCCGUAGGUGAACCUGCGGAAGGAUCAUUGUCGAUGCCUCUCAAGCAGAACGACCCGUGAAUCGUGUACUCAUCAUUGUGGAGGCGGGGGUGCUAGUUGCCCUCGUUUCCUGUGUCGGCGAGAGUUCUAGCGGACUUGUGCUGCUUGACCCUCUUUGACGCAACAACUAACCCCGGCGCCCUGCGCCAAGGAAUUUUGAGAAAAAAGCGUGCCCCUYGGCUGCUCGGAAACGGUGCGGUUUGGGGAGCAUUGCGACAUCGUAUAUAGAACGACUCUCGGCAACGGAUAUCUCGGCUCUCGCAUCGAUGAAGAACGUAGCGAAAUGCGAUACUUGGUGUGAAUUGCAGAAUCCCGUGAACCAUCGAGUCUUUGAACGCAAGUUGCGCCCGAAGCCAUUAGGCCAAGGGCACGUCUGCCUGGGUGUCACACAACGUUGCCCCUCCACCCUCGUCCCUCCCGUAAGGGUCUGGGGGAUGGGCAGAUCAUGGCCUCCCGUGAGCCUCGUCUUGUGGUUGGCCGAAAAUAAAAGCCCUCGGUGGCGAUCGCCACGCUCCUCGGUGGAUGAGCAUGCCUCGAUGCCGGUCGUGCGCGUGUCGUCCCCUAGCUCGGGCUCCAAGACCCUAUCGCGUUGCCUUGUGCCAUUGCGAAACCAACGCGACCCCAGGUCAGGCGGGGCUACCCGCUGAGUUUAAGCAUAU